GCUGAUGUAGCUCAGUUGGUUAGAGCACCAGAUUGUGGAUCUGGGGGUCACCGGUUCAAAUCCAGUCAUCAGUA
rnacentral:tRNA from 1 species